rnacentral:rRNA from 1 species
UACGUAGGGUGCAAGCGUUAAUCGGAAUUACUGGGCGUAAAGCGUGCGCAGGCGGUGAUGUAAGACAGUUGUGAAAUCCCCGGGCUCAACCUGGGAACUGCAUCUGUGACUGCAUCGCUGGAGUACGGUAGAGGGGAUGGAAUUCCGCGUGUAGCAGUGAAAUGCGUAGAUAUGCGGAGGAACACCGAUGGCGAAGGCAAUCCCCUGGACCUGUACUGACGCUCAUGCACGAAAGCGUGGGGAGCAAACAGGAUUAGAGUACCCG